rnacentral:lncRNA from 1 species
ACCCACACGUCACCGAGCUUAGCAUAGACCAAGGUAAUGUGGUGAGCCUUUCGCCGUCUAUUCUAUAACAGUCGAGCCGAUGUAAGUCUAUAUUUUUAUUAUAGUUAUGUUAUUAUGAGGUUUAUUUAAACAAUUCAGUUUUGAAGGCAGCUUACGUACUUAAUUUAGGUUACUAUGAAUUGAUAUGCUUUUAUGUAUUAUGGAACGGAAUAUGCAAUGGUUUGUGCCAAAAUAAAUUAAGUAUAUUAUUUUCAUAGUCUUCUAAAACGAUUCUAAUAUUAUAUUCACGACUGAAAUAUAAGUUUUUAUAAAUACCUGUAGACACUCCAUCUCAUAUCGUAUCAUAAAAAUGUAUUCGAUAUCAUAAAACUUAAGUUUAUAAGUCUCCAUAUUUCCUUCUCCAUGUAGACUUGAAUUCCAAAAAUAAUAAAACCGUAAUGUGUUACUCUUUGUUAGAACCAAAAUAUCCAUUUUCCAAACUUACUCAUGAAGUCUACUCUCUAUCAUUAACGUCAAUUUCUUUUCCAAAAAUAUCCAAUUCUAAAAGGUCCUUUAUGAAAAUACCUAGCCACUCCGUUAAAGGCUAUUUCCCAUAGAGCCGCGUUCCUAUAAUGGCCACUGCCAAAAAAUAAAUUUCCUCAAAUGACUAUAAAGUAUUUAUGUAUUGAUGUUGAUUCCAGUAAACACCAUCUAAUUUUAUUUUAAGUUAUAUCUGUCAUUUUCUUAUCCGCUGAAAAAAAAAGGGACGGGUAAUCGACAGACAUAAAAUUUUAUGGAACACGCGUCAAUUUUAGACAGAAAAAAAGACCCUUCCAAAAUUUUAUACUGGCCAAUAACCCGACAGAAUCAAGAUACAAGUAAAGAACCAGCACACGUCAAAAGGGUUGCAUAUAAGCAAGAUAACCCUCUUUUAUUCACCCGAGUUAUUUAUUCAUUUUAAAAUUAACAGUUGUCAAUCAUCCGUCCCUUUCAUUUUGGCGGAUAAGAAAAUGACAGGUAUAACUUAAAAUAAAAUUAGGAUGUGUCUGCAGGAAUCGGGGCCAUUGUUUUACUAAGUAUAGGCUCAAUCGUAUAUAUUAGGUCAUGACAUAGUCGAAAUCAAUAAGAGAACUUAUAGAUUUAUGAUUAAGAUCUCUUUCAGCUCGAAUCGUGGACAGACUUAAUACUGCGGGUGCUAAAUUAUAACGGAAAUAAAUACAAUUCUUAAGGCUACACGGUCCAAUUUCCCAUAUCAGCCUCAUAUCUUUGUCAACUUUUGGGCCUAAGUAUUAACCUUUCGCAACCCGAUGGCUCCUGAAAGAGCCAGCGCCAAAAACAACUAACUCCCGCCGGCUCCCCAAAGAGCCAACCCUACUGCGCUCCGAUUUCGCGCUUAUUUCUUAGUUAUUAUAGCAGAUAUUGGCUUGUAUUGUAUAUAUUUGACAAGGUAAUGAAGUGAGCAACAUAAUGUUACCAAAUACGAAGAACUUUUCAACUCUACUGUUAAAAAAUUGGAAUCGAAAAGUCGUGCUGCGCGUGGUGCACAUUUUUGCAUUUCUUGUGAAUAAUAUUGUGUUUUUUGGAUUUCCUCGGGUAAAAAAGACCUGGGUACCACCCACGACGCCAACAGUGGUUACGCCAAGGACAGCAUCCCUGCACCGAGAAGAUAUCCGAAUGUGCUAAAAUUUGUGAUCACUGGAACUUGAUGAUGGAACAACGUAACCUUAUUGAGUUUGGGUUCAUCUGUUUGUCUUGACGAGCAUUUUUAUAAAAGCCUGCUUUAAAAAUAUUUUUUUUAAUUAUAAAUAAAAUAAAUAAAAAAGGAAAUAUAUUUUUACACACAGACUCGUAAUUUUACUAAGUAUUAUAUACCUACUUAAAAAUGGAAAAACAGCAUAUUGACAGUUAUCUAAUAAGAAGUAGUUAUAAAAUAAAAAAUAUUAAGAUUUAUUACUGAAAAUAGUAUAAUGAAUUGGAUACAAUAGGUGCAUCUAGCUAAUAAAAUUAUUAUAAUCGUCUUAUUUUGUAAAAAAACAAUCAACCUGUACAUGAAAUCCUGAACUCCCCAGUGGCUCCCCAGGGAGCCACCUCGAAAGACGCGAAAAACGGCCGGGUUUUGACGGUUUCCGAGCCGCGACUCUCGGGUUGUGAAAGGUUAAUUGAACUUCCUAAACGCAUUAUAAUAAGUAGAAUUACAUAACUGUUUUAGUAUACUUAAAGUAAUAUAAAAUAAAAUUUCAUUAUCAGUAGAAAUUCUUUUAUUUAUUAAAUAAUAUGUAUACUAUUAUCCAAUGUCUGACACUGGUGUAAAAUCAUCAAAAUAUUGAAGACACAGUUGCAGUCUUUAUAAGUUCAAUAUCAAAUUGAAUACGCAUUAUAAUAAUAUAAUAGUGCUCUUAAACCUAUCGUCCUUCGCCAUAACGGUGCAGAUAUUAUAAGCGGUGUAUACCUUCACGUGGCUUUACAUUAAAAUAUGGCUAAAUAAUAACUUAAUAAAA